GUUCGGCAGAUGUGAGGCUGAGCGACGCCUUCCGGAACCCCGCGCCAAGCCGGGUUGGAAUCUCAGCUCCCUCUAACCCGUGCCCCGCCUCCCUCCAUGGCAGCCGCAACGCUGAGGGUCUCUAGGGUCCCAAUUCAGGGUAGAGUGACCUUUGAAGAUGUGGCUGUAUACUUCUCCUGGGAGGAGUGGGAUCUGCUUGAUGAGACUGAGAAAUGCCUGUACCACGAUGUGAUGCUGGAGAACUUGGAACUUGUAACCUCCCUGGGUUGCUGGUGUGAAGCAGAAAAUGAGAAAGCACCUUCUAAGAAGAGAAUUUCUGUACAGGGGUUGUCACAGGUGAUAACACCCAUAGCAAAUGUGUUUCCACAGAAGACUCAUACCUGUGAGGUGUGUGGCCCAGACUUAAGAAAUAUUUUGCAUUUGAAUGAGCACCAGUCGAUACUUUGUGGGCAGAAAUACUACAAGAUUCAGGCAUGUGAGAAACAAUUGUGUUUCUGUGCCAAACUUCACCAGAAGCAGCACACUGAAGAGAAAUGCUGCAGAAGCAAUGUAGUUAAAGUUUCCCUUCUAAAGGAUUACCAGUCCAGUUUGUCAGAGGACCCUGUUUCCUAUAAGGAGCUUGGGAGGGACUUCCUGGAUAGUUCAACUUUUCAGCAGCAGAUUACACAUGCCAGGGAUUUGUCAGACAGGAACAAUGAAGCAGCCACACACAGGGAAAGUACCCUUAACUCUGGAAAAGGCAGGGAAGAUUUUAGUUACAAAUACACACAUGUUCGUUUCCAGAGAAUCCUCCCUAGAGAAAGGUAUUAUGUGUGCAGUGAAUGUGGGAGAUCUUUUAGCAAGAGCUACAGCCUCAGUGACCACUGGAGAGUGCACACUGGAGAAAAGCCAUAUACGUGUGGGGAGUGUGGGAAAUCCUUUAGGCAGAGCUCCAGCCUCAUUCAGCACCGGAGAGUUCACACUGGAGCAAGGCCACAUGAGUGUGAUCAGUGUGGGAAAUCAUUUAGCAAUAAGUCCAACCUCAUUAAACAUCGGCGAAUUCACACUGGAGAAAGGCCGUAUGAGUGCAGUGAGUGUGGGAAAUCCUUUAGUGAAAGCUCCGCACUCCUUCAGCACCACAGUGUUCAUACUGGAGAAAGGCCAUAUGAGUGCAGUGAGUGUGGGAAGUUCUUUACUUACCACUCUAGUCUCAUAAAGCACCAGAGAGUUCACUCUGGAUCGAGACCCUAUGAGUGCAGUGAAUGUGGAAAAUGCUUUACUCAAAACUCUAGCCUCAUUGAACACCAUCGAGUUCAUAGUGGGGAAAGACCUUAUAAUUGUAAUGAGUGUGGGAAAUCUUUCAGCCAAAGCUCUGCACUCCUUCAGCAUCGGAGAGUUCACACUGGGGAAAGGCCUUACAAGUGCAGUGAAUGUGGGAAAUUUUUUACUUACAGCUCCAGUCUCUUAAAACACCAGAGAGUUCAUGCUGGAUCAAGGCCCUAUGAAUGCAGUGAAUGUGGGAAAUCCUUUACUCAGAACUCUAGCCUCAUUAAACACAGAAGAAUUCACACUGGAGAAAGACCUUACGAGUGCAAUGAAUGUGGGAAAUCUUUUGGCAAUAGCUCCAGCCUCAUUAAGCACCAGAGAAUUCACAUUGGAGAAAGGUCUUAGUAGUGCAGGGAGUUUGCAAAAUUGUUUAGCCAUAGCUCCAAAUCGGUGACCACCAUAAUGUUCACCCUGAAUAAAGAUUUUGUGAGCAUUUGAAUAUGGGCAGUUAUUUCCCUCCAAGUCCUUAUGUUGAAUGAAGAUCUGUGAGUGUGUUGGGUGUGGGAGACAUCUAACCAAAAUCUAGCUUUUUAACAGUGAAUAAAAUUCACACUGUAGAAAGACCCUGUAAAUGCAGUGAAUGAGAGAAAGCCUUCCGUUGAAGGACUUGCCUCUUAAACCUAUUAAAUGUGUAGAUGCUGUUUCUUUAUUUGAUUUAACAACUUUGGAAAUCUCUUAGGAAGUUGCCACAUGCUUGUGUUGAACCUCAUACAUCUGAGUACUUACAUAAAUUCAGGUAUGUGAAACCUUUAUUGUAAUUUUUAAUCUACCCAGAGCUCUUGCCAGAUAUGUUUCACAUUUCUGUAGUAGAAAUCAUUUUACCUCUUUUACCUAGCAAGUCUGCAUAGUGUACUAGAUUCUGCCUUCCCAUUGUGUUCUUUAGAAGUACAUGCCAGUGUUCUCCUAAGUGUGAAAAAUUUACAAGUUUAAGUUAUCAGAGCACUUUGUUAUUCUUAUGACUUUGUUUUCUUUCCCUCACUAAAUUUUUGUAAUGAGGGCCAGAGAGAUAGUACACUGGGUAGGGCAUUUGCCUUGAUUGUGGCCAACCUGGUUUUGAUUUCCAGAAUCCCACAUGGUUCCCUAAACACUGCUAGGAGAAAUUCCUGAGUGCAGAGCCAGGCAUAACUCCUGAGCAUCAACAGGUAUGGCCAAAACCAAACAAUAGCAAAAAAGUUUGGUUAUGACCCUUAACUUGUUUUGUCAUAGAGGUCUGUGUUGGUAAAUUAAAAGAAUGGGCCACAUUUAUUCAGGGUCUCAUACUGUGAUAGAAUUUUCCAACCUCCAAGUCACCAGGUUGGGAAGUCGGCCAUUUCCUAGUUUAUAUGAUAAUAAAAAUCUUAUUUCAACUGAGGUUAAUUGUAGAGUUCUACUCAUUGUAUGGGUGCUUUAAGAUGAGUUGGAUUUGCUAGCAUGAUAAGGUGAAGAGUUUUGCUUGCAAAUUGUGUGCUUUUGAGAUGACAGUUUAAUGCUUUAACACUUUGUGCUGCUUCAAGGGAAGACUGAAGGUCUUUGUGGUUCUAAAAUGUAGCUUAGAUGGAUGCCAUGAUUAGAUUCAUGGUUUAACUUCAGGAAAGGGUAAUUGUCACUAUAUCUAUUUCUAUCCACUGCUUUGCAAUCAAAUAAAUUUUCUUUCUUAUUCACAGGAUAUAGCAUUAGGUUUAGCACUGGGAGGAAAGUGUCUCAUGUCCUAAACUGUAGUCAUGGGUUCCUGCAUGUUGAAUUCUGUAGGUAACAUCAUUGGUUUUAGGAUUCUAGGCUAUAGAUGAUUGUUACAGAAAUAUUGGAUUAGGUAGGUAGAGUGGAGAAGAUUCCCAACAACCAGGUUCAAAUGUGCCUAUUUGAAGAGUGUUCUUAGUGUUCAGUUAUUGUUGCUGUAAACAAUGGGCAGGUUCAGAAUUUACAGUUCUAGACCAGAGUGAUAGUAAAGCAGGUAGGGUGCUUACCUUGUAUGUGGCCAACCCGAGUUCGAUUCCCAGCACCACAUAUGGUUCUCUGAGCCCACCAGGAGUAAUUACUGAGCAGAGCCUUGAGCACCACUGGGUGUGACCUAAAACCCCCAGAAAUUCUCUGGAACACUUUGUUUUGUGUAACUGAAGUCACUGUAAUAAUAAUAAUUAAAAAAAAAUCUAACUAAAGCUUUGUGAAUUAUAGUAGCUUUUCAGGAAAAUAAGGCUAGAAGGCUUAUUUACUCAUUAUUCAUGGACACCUGAUCCAGCCAGUAUUGCCCUGGAAUGGAAACAGCUUCAUUGCUUCUCUACUUGUGCUGUCACAAGGGCAAAAUGCUUCCUCCACCACACACACACACACACACAGAGGACAGAGCGGAAUAUCCAUUUUCCCCUCUUUCUUUGCUUUUCUUUUCAUUUUAUUUCGGUCAAAUGCUAAAUACAUUGUAUGGGUAUUUUUUUUUUCUUUUUGGGUCUCACCUGGCGAUGCACAGGGGUUACUCCUGGCUCAUGCACUCAGGAAUCACCCCUGGCGGUGCUCAGGGGACCAUAUGGGAUGCUGGGAAUCAAACCAAGGUCGACCGUGUGCAAGGCAAACACCCUACCCGCUGUGCUAUCGCUCCAGUCCCUGCAUGAGUAUUUUAUAUAGCAUAACUUUGUAGCAGGAAUAAAUAGGUUUCAUAAACAAAAAAAAAUGCUUCCAUAAUCAUUUUUAUUCAAACUCUUAGAACACAUGGUAACAACUCCAGAAUUGUGCCUUUCCCCCCAUUAAAUUCCACUGAUAACUGACAAGCUCUCUUGAGGAUGAAGACUGCCUGUUUUGAGCAUAAGCAAGCACACUCCCACCAUGGUUAAACAAUCACAUUGCAGCACUGUUGCCUAGGACAAACAUUUUCUUGCAGACCUCUUAAAGGUGACCAGGCUCCCAAAUUUAUUUUCUAGAGUAGGAAAUCCUGACUUUUAAUUUGGAAUAUUUCAAAAUUUAAUAAUUUUUAAAUCAUAUGCAAUCAACUUCACAUAUAAAUGUGCAAUCUGAUACAUUUUGACUUUCAUAUGAAUCCAGGAAAUCCAGCUAAGGGGGCUGGUGUGCAUAUUUCACAUGUCAAAGGUCUGGGUUUAAUCCCUGGUUCAUUGUUCCCACAGCAAGCACCACUGUGUGAGCUUGUGAGUGGCAGGAGACACAGGGCAGCAGGGACCCCUGUUCAAUCCCCAGCACCUUAUAUGAUCCCAAGCCCAUCAGGAGUAAUCCCUGAGCACAGAGCCAGGAGUAAGUCCUGAGCACUGCCGGGUUUGGUUCAAAAACAAAUGAACAAAAAAAGGCUUAAUUUAGCAUUGUAAUCAAGAGUAAAUGUUGCAGCUCCUGUUAGCGCAUCAGAUGUAGGUAAAGGAAAAAAGAUUCAGUUGCUUCCCUACAGUUAUUAUCUAAUCUGUAGGAUUUACUUAGAUUUUGCUAAUAGGUCUCCAGUGUCUUUUAUGGUUAGAGAAAAGAUAGCCUGGGAUCAUACAUGUGUCCUGUAAAUGUCUGGUAAACCCCAUCUCUAAUUCAUCAAAUCGCUACACAGUGACUGGUUUUAUAAGCAGUUGCAUAUGUUUCUGAAAAAGUUCAAUUUGCCCAGCAGUGAAAUUAUGAUUCUUUGUAGCAAGGGAAGUGAAUGAGGAAAUCAAAAGUCUCGGGUGCUUCUAAUUCCCUCAGAUGAAGUAGAAUAAAUUUAGACAGAAUUCCUCCAAGGACAUAGCAUAUCCCUUGUAUAUCUAAGGGCUUUUUUGGUGUGUGGUUCUGUGGUUCAAAUACAGGACCUCAUAUACACACAAGACAACUAUUCUGCUGACCUAUAUCCCCAGGGCUUGAAGGGUUUUCUGAGGUUGAAGUCAGUAGUGAUAAGCAAGGUUUAACUUCCAUAUAAAGAAUUUCACAUAUUGUAUGCACAAAUGAACCCUUUACCCAGUGUGCAUUCUCUUCUCCAGGAAGCUGGAGAGUAAGUCUAACAUUACUCUGGUCACUACACUUAGAAACUGUCAACUGUGAAAUGCCUGGUGUUUAGCACAGUAUUAUUGGACCUCCCACUGAUCCCAUGUUACUACAAUACUUUUGUGGACCACUCCCAGCUGUGCUCAGGAACUACUUGCUCAGGGAUCACUCCUGGUGCUGCUCGGGGAACCAUGUGCAGAUUCAGGUAUGGAAUCUGGGUCAGUCAUGUGCAAAGCAAACACCUUACCUAAGCUCUGUACUCACUCUCUGGCCCUCCUAUGGCAUUUCUUAGUGUAAACUCACUGAUGCUAAGAGUCAUAUUGCACGCAUAGCAUUUCCCACUCAGUUCAUAAUUCACUCACAGGUUCUUUCUCCAGUGCGAACUCUCUGGAGUUGUGUGUGAAUUUAUGCAAAAAGAUUCUGUCCCUGUAAUUCUGAUGAUGUGGCUCAGAGAUAGAACUCUUCUGGCAUGUGUGAAGCCCUGGCAUCAGUUUCCUGCAUCAUACAUAAAGUCUACAAAAGUAAAAAUGAUAAUGCACUAUAUUAUACUUUUUUUUUCUUUUUUGGGUCACACCUGGUGAUGCGCAAGGGUUAAUCCUGGUUCUGCACUCAGGAAUCACCCCUGGCGGUGCUCAGGGGACCAUAUGGGAUGCUGGGAAUCAUCCAGGGUCAGCCACGUGCAAGGCAAAUGCCCUACCCACUGUACUAUUGCUCCAGCCCCUGCACUAUAUUAUAUACGUGAGGUCUUAUGUACAUGGUUUUGAUUACAGAAACUAAUAUUCUCUAAAUAAUGAAAAAAAUGAUGUCACAUGUUAAAGCAAAAGAGUAACAAUGGAAGACAAGCAACAGGAGAAAAAUAAAAUGGAUGUAUUAUUGGCAAAGCAUGACUGCUAGUUUUGACUUGGGUGUGGUGUUGCAUAUGAAGCAUGCACUCACUAGUGAGAUACACCUGUUGAAUUACAGUUGUAAGCAUUUUAAGAAGUGACAUUGCUUUGUCCUUUCUCCUCCCAUAGGGAGCUUAGGUUUAUUGAUUUACACCCACCACAGUGCCCCCAAGGCACACCCAAUUCCAUCAGGGCAUUUCUGUCCUCUGCAUUUAUCUUUAACCUCUCCUUUGUGCUCUUCUUCCCCUAUCUGUUGAUCACAUAUAUCCCCAAAUCAGACCCUGUAACUUGUAAAGACAAAUUCUUCUGAGGGCUCUGGAUUUUGUAUAUGUAAGUGAAAUAUUUCUUUUCUCUUUCCCUAUGUCCUUUGCAUAGUUUAUUUUAGUGCAGUAUCCUUUUUGUAUAGGCACAGGAAGACAGUUAAUACUAUGCUUUUGUAACAUGGGAGUUAAUUGACUCCAAAUAAUAUUUACUCCUGGGCAUCCAUCAUAUUUACUUGAUUUAAGACUCAGUUGCCUUAAGUUCCUAGGACCCCAAAAGGGGGUUCUGGCAAGGGAUAAGGAUGGAUCCAGGGCAAGUCAUAAGCUACCCUGGCAUCAAAAAGGGACAGGCCAUAAGAAGUAUAGGGGCUAAAGCCUAAAGCACAGUGGGUAAGGUGUUUGCUUUGUAUGCAGCCUACCCAGGUUCGAUUCCCAGCAUCCCAUAUGGUCCCCUGAGCACUGCCAGGAGUGAUUCCUGAGUGCAAAGCCAGGAGUAACCCCUGAGCAUCGCCAGGAGUGACCCAAAAAGAAAAAAAAAAUAUAAUAAGUUAAGAACACGGUCAUGGAACAUACUGACAUAAACCCCAAAAAGAAGUGACUUUAAUAAGGAACCUGCUGGAGUUAGGAAAGAUUUAGAUGCCUUGAGGACUGUGGUCUGGGAUAUAUAGCGAGAUGUCAUCAGGAGAGCCACCCUUUAAGCUAAAUAUAUAUCUUAGGGGCUGGAGUGAUGGUACAGCGGGUAGGGUGUUUGCCUUGCACACAGCUGACCUGGAUUCAAUCCCUGGUCCCCUUAGCACUGGCAGGAGUAAGUCCUGAGCAUCGCCAUAUGUGACCCAAAAAGUAAAAAAUGAAAAAAACAAAUAAAAAUAUAUCUCUUCCUGUGUUCAUACAAAAUGACUAGAAUUAUUAAGAAGUCAAUUUAAGAUGAUUAUGUAAAUGGAUUACUAGCAAAGGAAAGGAGAAAGCAAUAUGCACUUAGAUGGAAUUCUGCCCUUGAGCGGAUCUCCUAGUAGAAAUCUAGAGUGCUGGGAUCCCUAGAUUAGAGUGUGACUUGGGUGAAAUCUCCUAGAACUUCCCCCUGAAGGAAGGUAUUUACAUGUGUUCAUUGUUUAUGGUGUUCAGCCACACCCAUGUGUAAUUGCUACCCCCCAACCCUUCAUGAUUUCUCUACAACUAAUGCCAUGAGACUUGAAUAAAUGGCCACUGAUUACCAAACAGCCCGUGGCCCCCAUUCCUUUGUCCAUCCACCAGGCAGGGAGACAGUGAUCAGCACCAAACCACCAGGGGACCCUCAGCUCACCGGAGGACAGUGAUCCCAGAACAGUGACACACACCCUCUGUGUUGCACUGUGCUUAUAGGUAAUAAUGCAGAGAACUAUCACAAAGAAUAGAACUGAGACAACCCAAUCACAAGAAAUGACACCUUAGUGGCAAAAAAGGUUUGUAGAGUACACACACUUUAUAUAUAUAAGAUUCUAAUUUAGACAUCUUGGCUUUAGUGCCACACUUGGUGGUGGUCUGGGUUUUGUGGAGCGUGGCAACAGGCACCCGAGGAGAUAAGACCUGUCCUUGCAUAGUGACCCAGUAGGGAAUGUCGGUGCAUUUUACAAGCACCAGGUAUCUGGUGUUGAGUCCCAUCCCCCAAGAAUUAUCACCUAGCUGCAUUCCUAACUGCAGCAUCUAGCCUUAUCUGGGUUUGGGCCAGGGCAAAGCAGAGUUGAAAAGGUGAUAGGUCAGUAAUACUAAACUAUGUGAUUGGACCUUCCUCUUAAGGAAGAGGACCUUCUCGACCUUCCUCGAGACCCUCUAUAAUAUAUGUGUAGUUGGCAAUAAAGUGAGCGGCCAUCAGCUAUCUCCCGGAGUGGUUUCUCCAUACAACUGUCAUCCUUCGCUAUGCGUCUGCCUUGAACCCAGUGAGCAACAUGUCAGGGCAAGUUGGGGAAAAACUGUUCCCCAACAGGGUUUAUUUCUGGUUCAGUGCCAAGAACAUAUAAAGAAGUGACAUGAUGAAAUCAGUGGGCCCCAUGGGUGGCUCAUGUGAGGUGGGGAGGAGAGAGACGUCACUUUCUCUCGAUCUGCUUCUGCCAUCCGGGACUUGUUGGAGAGGUUGGAAUUGAGAGUCUGCGGAGUGCACAGGUCAGAGCCCCACCAGCCCUGCCAUGUGGCUGUCAAACCACACCUGACAUCUGCUUGGUCUUCUACAUAGAGUUGAUCCCCACCACCCAAUUUCUCGGGGAGCCAUGGACUCAGGUUGGGGCAAGGAUUUGCUCUUUGCAGGAAAGGAAAGUCAGUCCUAGGCCUUAUCCAGGGCUCAGGGUCUCUUGUCUUGCUUCAACGAAAGGAAUUUCAGAGUAGACAAACAAUUAAGUAAAAAUAUUUUAUUUGGAGACUUUUUAGAAAGGGGAAUGAGGGAGAGAAAUUGAGAGUAACACACUCAAGAGAGAAUGCAGGCUUAUCCAAAGGCGGAGAGAGCCCUACACACAUUCCAGCAUUCGAUAUGGAAGCAUGAAAGUACACAUCUCAAGAGGGGAAACAGGCACCACGUGCACACAAGUAGCACAUGGGCUCAGGCAGCAUAUGAGUGCACUUCCGUUGUUCAAGGUGGCUUUUAUAGAGUUUACCCAACCUGCCCCCAUGUGGGGCUUCUACCUAGAUUAAAAAAAAAAGUCCAUUGCUAGGGCAGUUGCCAGGGGGGUAGAGUUGGGAAUGGUUUUCUUUGAAAUUCCUUUCCUGCCUUUCCUUUCUGCGGGAGCUUCUCUCGGAGGGUGGUCCAGUAUUCUUUGGGUCUGUUACCCGCCAGGUGAAAGGCUUAUUGCGCCAGGUGAAAGGCUUAUUGGGCCAGAGCUCACAAGGUGAGUGGACCCUUUGCAACACUGAGUUAUUGCUUUUAUUACAUCCUAGGAAUUCCAUUGCCAUAGGGGCCCUUCCCUGUCUAACAUUACAUAUGCCUUGCACCCGGCCUACAUUACAUCAAUGGGGCUGGAGAUCAUAUAGUGGGUAGGCCCGUUCUCGUUCUAUCCCUGGCAUCCCUUAUGGUACCCAUAUGGUCCCCAAUCACUACCUGAGUAACCUCUGAACAUCACCAGGUGUCACUCCAAAGCAAAAAAAUAAGUAAAACUCCUGAUACUCAUAUAGCAAUUAUCCGCAUAUCAGAGCCAUGCAUGGAGCCCCACUAGGCCUUCCUGACUCCCACCACUGAUGCCUCAGCCAGGGAAGGCACUGGACUCUGUCCUGGCCACUGGACUCCGUCCUGGCCACUCGCUCAUCCUGCUGGCCCCGCUUUUUCCCACACAACUGGAGCCCAGUCGGAUUGCACCCCGGAACCCCUCCCCCCAAGGUCUCAGUGACAACAAUGAAGACUCCAGGAGCUGCCUCCUGAGAGCCUCCCUUCCUCUAUUGUGACACAAAUGCCCAGUCACAAUACCCACCCCCCACUCUGGUCCCAGCCCCUGCCACCCUCUCAGAUUUCAUCUUUCCUGGGAAUUCUGCUGGUGCUAGCCUUGGGGAAAGUUCUGUGUUCAGAACUUGUGAUCAGCUUCAAUGUCUUGUAUGUGCACCGGUUCCCAGUGACUCUUAUUUUUUGUUUGGGCAGUGCUCGGGGAUCACUCCUGUCAGGGGAAUCGAACCUGGCUCAGCAGUAUGCAAGGCCUGCACCUUGUCUGCUGUCCCAACUCUUGGCCCCAGGAGAAGUAUUUUGUUAAAAACCAUUACCAUUACUAGGGCCAGAGAGAAGACAGGGGGUCGGGGAGGUGGGAGGUUUGAAAUAGCCUCUAGGCAUCUCAGGACUGGGAGUCGCCAAGACUCAAGCCUGGACAGCCAGCUAGAGGCCAGUGCUUGGACUCCACUGCCAAUCCUGCCAUGCUUGGGGCCAGCCUCCAGGCCUAGGCCACUAAGGAACCUCUUCACCUAGAACAGGCAUGAGUGGCAGCGGCGUCUAGCCAAUGAAAGCCCAGGUAGGCACUUUGAGUAGGACUUCCGUCGCAUGCUAGAGGUUCUCAGCGGGGCAGGGGUGGCUGGGGCUCGCCAGGUGUGGAGGUGGGAACUGUAAUUGCCCAGUGAACUGGCUUUUCUCCGGACGGCAGCGCAGAGCCUGGGGUGAACACCGCACCUCUGGGCAGUGUGUUUGCCCAGGGAUUGGCACGGAUUCUAAGGAAGGAGAGCCUCAUAGGCUCGGCUGUGGGCCUCCCUUUAAGAACUGCCUCUAGGGGCUAGGGCCAUAGCACAGUGGGUAGGGCAUAUGCCUUGCAUCCUGCCUACCUGGGUUUGAUUCCCAGCAUCCCUUAUAGUACCCUGAGCACCACCAGGAGUAAUUCCUUGUGACCCAAAAAGCAAAAUUUUUUCAAAAAGUAUUAGAACUGCCUCUUUUUAAAUUUUGGGCCACACCCAGUGGUGCUCUGAAUUUACUCCUGGCAUCUUGGGGAUGACUCCUGGCGGUGUUCAGGGGGCUGCCUGGGUGCUGGGAUGGAACGUGGGUCGACCUCAUGCAGGGCCAGUGGCUCUCCCUGCUCCGGUCUCUGAGAGCUCCUCUUUUGUUAGUUCCCAUGGCUGUACAGGUGCUUGUGGCACCUGGUCAUCCCUGGGGUCUCUCAGCAGUUGGCUUCCCUGCUUAUGGUGUCAUGAGACUUUCAGCUGCCAUCUCCAAGUCCUGUAGUUUGGGAGUGAGAUGUGGAAGCUUAGGACAGAAACAGAUACCACAUUGCUUAGAGAUGAGACGAAGCUGCUCUGGGAACUGUGUCUUAGCUGGGCUUCCACUCCAGAGGAGCAGGGGUCUGGAGUAGAGGGGAUGGUCAUCUUCUCCAGCUCCUAGUGGACACCAUCUCAGUGGCCUUAUGGAUAUAUGAGAAAGGCACAACCACCAGUGGCUCCAGGGGACAAGUUCAGGCAUGAACUUGUCCAUAAGUGAAGCCGCUCACAGUUGCAUCUGUCUGUAUGCUGGCAACACAGUGUGACCUUUGAUGAUGUGGCCCUGUACUUCUCCUGGAAGGAGUGGGAUCUCCUCGAUGAGGCACAGAGAUGUCUGUACCAAUGGAUGCUGGAGACCUUUGCACUUGCAUCCUCCUUGGGUAAGGCUGCCACUCCCAUCUGGAUGCACUGCCUGGGCUCUGGCCUUCUCUUUCCCUGGAGGUCCUGGUGCUUCUUUCCCAUGUUUACUGAUUACUCUGGUGGAGCUGAGUGCAAGCCUCUUCUUCCUUUUAUCACCUCCACACCUCACAAGAUAUUGGGGAUCAGUAUAGAGGCUACCCUGAUAAGUCCCACCUGCCCUGACCUCUGCAUUGCUGGAUGCCUGCCUCCAUCAUAACUCUCUAGAAUCACUGGCCUUCUGAUUACUGGAAUUUAGUCAUGAGUUGUAGGCACUCACCGUCACUACUUACACCAACAGUUCUUACAUUAUUCCCAUCCAGGUUUCUUUCUGGAGAGGACUCCCAGUCAGUGCUCAGGGUGCCAGGGGCUCCUCCCAUUGUUUUUUUUUUCUUUUGGGUCACACCCAGCGAUGCUCAGGGGUUACUCCUGGCUCUGCACUCAGGAAUCACUCAGUGGUGCUCAGGGGGCCAUAUGGGAUGCUGGGAAUCAAACCCGGGUCGGCCGUGUUGGUGUACAACAUCCCAUAAUCUCAGGCCUAGCUAGGUUUAGAUGUAUAUAUCAUUUUUUCUGUUGCUGUUACUUUAAUGGACUAUACUAACGGCUAUAUAACUGAUUUUGAUACUGUUUCCCUUGACUAAGUUAAUUUGCAUAUUCUGCCUAUGUGGCUGAAUAUCAUUGGUUAAAACAUCAACCUAGUUAAUAAAAGGGGGCUGAAUAGGCUACUCUCCACAGGCCACAGCACAAAAAACUCCAGAGACAGUUAUGUGAUCCUCCCAGAAAAUGUAUAUUUCUUUCGUGUGCAUAUCUUAAAUGCCUCAGACUUCUAAACAAACCUUACUGCAACAUAUGUUGCAACAUAUGGCAGCCAACACAAGGCUCGAAGAUAAAGGCCUGGUAGGGAAGAAAUAGAGAUAGAGAAAGGAGAGAGAUAAAGGGAAUGAAGAAAUAGAAAGGA